UGGAAGCAGUAUGGCUGAACCACUCAGUGACAUCAUGUUUUUCUGAGUGACACCUCCACUGGGUAAUGGUCGCUGAUGGCUUCAGCCUACAGAGGCAGGGAGAUGCAGAGGACAUGGGGUCAGAGUGAGGUCCUCCGUUCCACAGAGGGUGAGUGGGUAGAAAGCCUUCUGCUCCUGGCCUGAACUACUCCACCCACAUCUAGUGUGAAAAUGGUAGUAAUGUCGGGAAUCAGGAAGUCAGCUCCUGCUUGGCAUCAGGCUAAGCUAGACCGCACGAAGGGAGGACACAUACCAGCUGGUUGGAAAGUCUGUACUCUGCUUGGAAAUCAAAGGGAACAGCCGAGCUGGGAACUACAGCAGCCUGCAGCAGAGCUCCAGCAACCACAAUCCUGUAGGACAGCAAAGGACACGGUCCCUCAUCCUCUUUCCCACGGAUCAACCACUGGAAGGUGGGGCUUGUCCGAAGGCGAAUGGAAGACCACUGGGAGGAAGUGACGUAGCUGCAGCCAGCAUUGAAAUCUCCCAUGAACAUGAUGUCCUGCCAGGAGACAUGCCUAUUGGUCCAGGGACAAACAGGGUCAAUAGAACCCCCUGUCCCUGGGAUGGCCUCACCUCCAGGCCCCACUUUUGCCGGACAUCUAGGUAAACAUCGUAGAGGGCAUCAAUCUCUUUCACAGCUUCUGUUGGGGCUGCGUGCAAGGGCACAAUCGCAAACUCUCGUACCUCUGUGGAGAAGCAUUAAUCCUAUUGUCAGUGUCCAGAGACCAGAUUGGAUUGGGGCAGGUCUGAGGAUACACUGGGGCCCUCAUGUGGUGGCUUUAGCUGUGGAGCAGAGAUGAAGAUAUGGGACAGUCUCCCGCAGGAUAGAUACAGUCCUUGUAAUUGAAUAUAAAUUCAGAGCACUGGGAGCUCCUUGGGGGAAGGAAGAGCCCUGUCAUAGGCUUCCAGAGGUCUGGACUUGAGUUGUGAGGGGCUUGGCCUGGGUAGGGCUGGAUGUGAAACACAGCAGCACUCACCAGUGUAUGGGGAGAAGAACUUGACAAUGACGGGCUCUCUGCUGAAGGUGUCAUUUCCACAGGGCUCACAGCCAUCAUCAUAAUGAUAGCUGUCCAGAACAGACACCUGGUUGGGCCUAAAGAGAGACCAGGCAAGUGGUGACCCUAGGCCUGUGAGAGGAUGACGCCCACCCAGCCAGAACUCUGUCCUGGAGCCCUGAGAUACACACUGCUACCCCUACUCUGUAAGGGCCUCCCAAGUGAAAGGGUCACCUGGGCUCUCCAAACCACUCAGCCUCUGUGGCACAGGUUUGGGGUCUGUACACCCCUGUGCUUGUAUUCUCGGGCUUUGACAGCAUAGGGCUUUACCUGUACACAAAGAGGUACUGUUCCUUGUAGCUCUUGCGGCCCAGAGGCUCACUGACUACAAAGCGAUAGGUGUCAGGUGUGUCCCUGAAUGAAGGAAGCCAAAGGUACUUUUUACCACAGAGGGAACCUCCUGGCACCCGAUAGCAAGGCUCCAACAGUGGAACACACAGGGAGAGAGACUAUAAAUGGUUGUCAUUACUCUAGGACUCUAGAAUUGUCACCCACCGAUUGAGUUCAUCCAGUAGCUUUCCAACAGCAACCAGGUGUGUGUCUCUGACCUCUUGGACAACAGCGAUGUCAUAGCGAUUCAGGAUCUGGGGUAGGACCACAACAGCUGAGCAGGACAAGCCGGGCGGGCAGGGCUGGGCAGCAGCUCGGGACCUCAGAGCUACAGCUGCUGCCUUUCCUUACGGUACACCCUCCCUGCAGCCUACCCUCCUGUCAGAUACCUGCAGCCCCAGACAGUGUGGACAGUGAUCUGGGCUGACAACCCUGAAAUCCACCCAGGUAUGGUGAGGCCUCAGGUUCACCGUGGUCCCUACGUCCCCUGACAGCAUGUCUGCCCUCAGGCUUCAACCACCAUGAACUUACUUUCACGAUGUAGCUAGAGAGGGUGUCAUUGGACAUCUUAGUCUCCCCAAAAGUCCGGAUGUUGAAGGCUGCAAUUCUCAGAGUCCCGGCCAGCUGCAGCAGGUUGGCCAGGGUGAGCAUUGUUCCCAUCAGCCCUGUGCGCCUCAUCCUGUGAGAUUAGAUGGUCAGGACAAAGAAGCAGUGACCCUGCCAUCCCCAUCAAAGACUCUGAAGCCCAGCUUGUGCUGAACCAGCGCGAGCCCUAUACUCACGUGAAAGCCAGUCUGAGAUGGUGCAGCAGCGGAAUGGACCUGCUCUGUGGGUGUGGUGAGCCGAGUCUGCUCUGGAGCUGUGGAUGGACAAGGCAAGUUCACUCAAGUCCUGACACCAAGAUGUCUGUAGAGACAACAAGAAUUCUGCCAAAACCUGCAGUAUCCUGAUACUAAUUUCUCCUUUUGCUUUUAAAGAAAAAUUCUUUUUACAAAAUGUAUAAAGGGAAAAAACCAAAAAGUAGCGUGGAAUUGCAGACCUGCUAGCUCUCCGGGUCGCUGCCCAGGCAAUGCCAGCCUGCCGUACUCUGCCAGUUUUAAAGGUUCAGGCAGUUAUGACCUCCCCAGGGCACAUGUGUCCCCUUCACCUGAGAGCACAGAACAAUAGAGCUGCCUGUGUGGCUAUCUCACUGGGGCCUGGGCAGGCUGAUGGCACGUGCUGACAGCAACAGACACGGUGCCUCUUGCUGUAAAAACAAAGUCUGAUACCAUGUUUAUGCAUGGUUAUAAAACCUUGUGUCCUUUGCCCAUCAUGCCCUCACUACCAGGGAUGGAUAAUAGGAAUUGGAGGCAGGGCUGGCUGCAUUACUCUUGUCUCUGGUCUAGGGGUGUUGAUGUCACCUUGAGACCAGAAGCUAAAUUCCAGACACUGACAUGUUCAACAUGGACUCUCAAGACAGCUGCUCUGCUCUGUGGCUAAGGACCCCUCACCUCCAAUGUCACUGAGAUGCUAGAGGCUCUGGGUAGGAAGUACUGGGUGAUGGAAAUUCUUCCUGGGGGAGCAAGAAGCUCAAGGGAUCCUCAGGUUCCUGCUUCACUGGACAGAGUAACCCAGGGCUAGGUCUUGCCAUUUUUUUAAAAUCCUUGAUAGUUCCUUUGUGUUUAUCCCCAAGGGCUCUUUAACAAGCUACUGCAAUCUAUGAAAGCUCUGUAACCAGAGGUUCACAGCCCAGGUGUCUGCAGGGCCAUAUGCGCCCCACUGUAGGGUCUUGGAUCAGCUCUCCUUUAUCUAAUGACGGGGCUACGUUGUGUUCCUCUGGGACACGGCCAGGAUAAAGUCCUGUCUCGCCUUGGUCCUGGCCUUGGUCCUCUCCCCUAAACUGCACAUGGAGGCCAGAUGCACGUGUCUUCUAUCACUCUCCAUCUUAAUUUUUGAGACAGGGUUUCUCACCGAAUCUAGAGCUCAACUGACUGGCCACCAAGCUCCCAGAGUAUUCUCCCUGUGUCUGCGUCCUAGUGCUGGCCUUACAAGCACACACCGUCGUACCGAUCCUACCUGAGCUGCAGAUCUGACUCCAGCCCUUAUGCUUCUGGUGAACACUUCACCAACUGAGCCAUCUUCCCAAUUCCCACAAAGGUCUCUUUUGCCAAGUAUUAGGGUGUGGACAUCUUUUAGGGUACCAGUUAUCCCUCCAUCAGAAGCUCUAUGCUGAGGGGUUUCGGCUCUCCAAGGACAAUAUGAAUAUGUUCUAGGGACUGAACCUUCCUGAUGAAGGAAGAGCUUGUAUGCCCAGAGAGAAUUGGAAGUAGCACAUUGGAAUGGGCAGCUACAGGAGGUUGGAUCUAUCCAGAAGCAGGACAGCCUAGAGGUCAGGAGUCGGAAAGAAGCCAAGGUCAGCAAAGUACCUGCCAGCUGCCAAGGCACCUGGUGUGCAGGACUAGAAAGAAUUAAUACACCAUACAAAGGUAACUACACCUCCGGGAAGCUGGUGUCACAGUGGCACUGGUGCACAUCUCCUAUGUCUCACAUGCACAAAUCAGAGAUCCAAUCGCCACCUGCCUCUCCAUCUGCCAGAAACCCCAUCUUCAUCUUCUGAUCCCCCUGCCUCCACCUUGCACAUCUGAAAUUCUGUGCAGUUUACAGGUGUGUGCUGGUUACAAGGUGCUUGGCGGCAAACUCCACUCCAGCCCUAUCUGAGUCUUUUCAAAACUCUACGUGCCAUGUUUCUGCUCUCCACCUGAGGCUGGGGUAGAUGUGAGUGUUGGCGCCCAGUUCCCACACACCCAGCAAGGCGGCUGAAGCACCUGCUCAGCACAGCUCAUAUUUUUCUACCUUGGUCACACAUCUGAGAGCUUGAUGGUAAGAAUGCGAGCAGACCAGAGUGCAGAGAAAGAUGGCUGAGACCCCGCAGCUGGACGCAGAAGCAUCAAGACCAUCUGACAGGUAUGGCUUUUGGCAUGGGGCCCCACUCUGUUUCUCAGCAUCGGGUAACUAAGGAAGCAAGCCUGUUGCCCACUCCCUGCUUCUGGAAGCUCCUAGGUACCCCUACUUUUCUUCCGGCCAACAGAAAGGUUAGGGUUAAGGCUUCUGCAGCAGCUGGGUCCUGAGCACCAAUUGUACGUGGUGGCCCCCUCAACUGGGCUCCCCAAAAGCCACUCAUCUAGGGCACAUUCACUCCGGGUAAAGGAUUCUCAGCCUGCUCUGUGGUUGGAGGGUCAGUAGACACAGGAUUAGUCUAAGUAGGAUUUACUCCUAGAAGGGAAGCAGCCUCUGGAUGUUACACUGCCGCACCUCUCUCCUGGGUUCUUUUCCUUGUGUCCACUACUGCUGUGCACUCAGUGGCCUCAGAGCUCAGUGUGCCCAGCAAUAGUCAUUUACACCUGUAUACUGGCCUGUGGGGGUGGGGUGUCCUUGUCCCUGAACUGGACUAGGACAAAAAGAGGGAAGUGGAAACCCCACUAGAUAACAGAUGUGAUGCUCUCACAUCUGAAUGUGGUCUCUGCUGUGCUGAACAAACAUCAACAGUGGAACCAGAAGCAAACCUUCCAUACUAGGGCCUGCUCCAGAGGUGCAGGAAUGGGCACCCCGGAAAGGUCGAUGCAGCUGCGUGCUUCUGGAGUUUCCAAUCACACCAAGGAAGCAUGUGCUCACAGCCAAUGGCCACUUUUCCGGAUUAGGUGAGCUUUCUAAAGGUCAGCUCUGAUGAUUUACAAUGUUCUCUUUAAAUCACUCUUGUCACAGAGACCAAAUCGGGAAGCAACAAAUAGCACUGGAUUACUGAAGUGUAAGCCAAGUCAAAGGAUGCGGAAAGAAAUCCUCUUAAGUACUGAGACCAAACAAGUGAUCAGGCAGGUCACAGCGGGGCAGGCCAAGGUGGGGCGGGCGUGGCCGUUGCUUCACCCCCCCCCACACACACACACAGAAGGAACACAAAGAAACGCAACAAGUGGUGAAGUUGGCAUGUCUGCACAUCAGACACGAUGUGACGACUGCGUUCUCUCUUCCUAUAGUUUCCGUAUGCAUCCGUGUGACCUGUGCUGUGGCAGCUACUGAGAAAGCAUUACUGUGAAAUCUGAUGUAGACCAAGGCAAGGAUGGCAGUUUCAAUGUCUCUUGCUAGUGGACGUAUCCCAGGAAUAAUUAUGGUUAAAAAUAAAGUUUCUCUUUAGAUUUUA